rnacentral:rRNA from 1 species
GACGAACGCUGGCGGCGUGCUUAACACAUGCAAGUCGAACGAAGUGGCGAACGGGUGAGUAACGCGUAAUCAACCUGCCCUUCAGAGGGGGACAACAGUUGGAAACUACUGCUAAUACCACAUACUGAAGGAGGGGAUUGCGUCUGUUGAGCUAGUGGGAGGGGUAACGGCCCACCAAGGCGAUGAUCAGGAGCCGGUCGUAGAGGGUGAGCGGCCACACUGGGACUGAGACACGGCCCAGAAUCCUACGGGAGGCAGCAGUGGGGAAUUUUGGACAAUGGGGGAAACCCUGAUCCAGCCAUGCCGCGUGAGCGAUGAAGGCCUUCGGGUUGUAAAGCACUUUUGGCAGGAAAGCGGUACCUGCAGAAUAAGCACCGGCUAACUACGUGCCAGCAGCCGCGGUAAUAC